UGUAAACUUCGAAGCGUGCGACUAUGUC
rnacentral:sRNA from 1 species